UAGGGAAUAUUGCAAAAUGGGCGAAAGCCCGAUGCAGCAACGCCGCGUGGGCGAUGAAGGCCUUCGGGUCGUAAAGCCCUUUUUGAGGGGAUGAGGAAGGACAGUACCCUCAGAAUAAGCCUCGGCUAACUACGUGCCAGCAGCCGCGGUAAAACGUAGGAGGCGAGCGUUAUCCGGAUUUACUGGGCGUAAAGCGCGUGCAGGCGGAUUGGAGAGUUGGAUGUGAAAGCUCCCGGCUUAACUGGGAGAGGUCGUUCAAUACUUCCAGUCUUGAGUGCAGUAGAGGGAAGAGGAAUUCCGGGUGUAGUGGUGAAAUGCGUAGAUAUCCGGAGGAACACCAGUGGCGAAAGCGGCUUCCUGGACUGUAACUGACGCUCAGACGCGAAAGCUAGGGUAGCA
rnacentral:rRNA from 1 species